UUUACUUACAGGGUCUUUGCAUCGGAAUUAAACACAUUUAUUCUAAAACCAGUUGUUGGCAUGACACGGGUUAUGUUCUUCUCAUAUAUUUCAUGAUGGUAUAAUACUAAACCCCUAACAGGAGGGAUUGUGCCUGAUAUUCAUAUGAUGAAGACAUAAUCUUUCAAUCAGUUUAAUCGAGGUCUGGAGCUGGCAUGUCAGUAACUGCUAGUACUCUUUUGUUAUUUAUGUAUUAUUGUCAUUUUGUUUAUUUUCUUUUGUUUCAUAUUUUGACAUCGGACUCGGACUUCUCUUAAACUGAGUUUUACUGUGCGUAUUGUUGUGCGUUU
rnacentral:lncRNA from 1 species